UUUACAAGUAAUUGAAGAUUGAUUUGGUGGAAGUUGAGUCAAUUUCGAUGUUCCAUUGUCCAUGAAUAAUUUAUACUCUUCUUCUAUGGUAUUCUCUCACUUCAUAGUAUCCAUGACUUCAUUGUAUUACACAAACCGAAUGGAUCAAUAAAGAAUACAACAUUGAUAUGUUUUUCACUUACUUAAAGAAAGAUGUGGUUCUUCUACCAUGCACCAAGUUAUUUUCUAUCUCUCAAAAGAUAUCUCCUUUCACUUGAUGAAGCUUCACCUUCUUUCACUCUAAGAUUUCUUGUAAGCUUCUUUGCUCUUAAAACUUGCUUCUUUACAUUCAAAGAUUGAUAUUCCUCAUCAUCAUCAUUUUCAACAUCUUCAUUAU
rnacentral:lncRNA from 1 species